AAUAGAUACCCAGGUAGUCCACGCCGUAAACGAUGGAUACUAGCUGUUUGAGCGCAAGUUUGAGUGGCUAAGCGAAAGUGAUAAGUAUCCCACCUGGGGAGUACGGGCGCAAGCCUGAAACUCAAAGGAAUUGACGGGGGCCCGCACAAGCGGUGGAGCAUGUGGUUUAAUUCGAUGAUACGCGAGGAACCUUACCAGGGCUUAAAUGUAGAUUGACGUAUUUGGAAACAGAUAUUUCUUCGGACAAUUUACAAGGUGCUGCAUGGUUGUCGUCAGCUCGUGCCGUGAGGUGUCAGGUUAAGUCCUAUAACGAGCGCAACCCCUGUUGUUAGUUGCCAGCGAGUAAUGUCGGGAACUCUAGCAAGACUGCCAGUGUAAACUGUGAGGAAGGUGGGGAUGACGUCAAAUCAUCACGGCCCUUACAUCCUGGGCCACACACGUGCUACAAUGGCCGGUACAGAGAGCAGCCACUUAGCGAUAAGGAGCGAAUCUAUAAAGCCGGUCACAGUUCGGAUCGGAGU
rnacentral:rRNA from 1 species